rnacentral:misc_RNA from 1 species
GAAAUGCGAUAAGUAAUGUGAAUUGCAGAAUUCAGUGAAUCAUCGAAUCUUUGAACGCACCUUGCGCUCCUUGGUAUUCCUUGGAGCAUGCCUGUUUGAGUAUCAUGAAAUCUUCAAAGUAAAUCUUUUGUUAACUCAAUUGGUUUCUACUUUGGUAUUGGAGGUCUUUGCAGCUUCACACCUGCUCCUCUUUGUUCAUUAGCUGGAUCUCAGUGUUAUGCUUGGUUCCACUCGGCGUGAUAAGUUAUCUAUCGCUGAGGACACUGUAAAAGGUGGCCAAGGUAAAUGCAGAUGAACCGCUCCUAAUAGUCUAUUUAAUUAGACAAAAAAAAAAUUAAGAUCUGAUCUCAAAUCAGGUAGGACUACCCGCUGAACUUAAGC